rnacentral:rRNA from 1 species
UACGGAGGUCCCAAGCGUUGUUCGGAUUUACUGGGCGUAAAGGGCGCGUAGGCGGCAAUUCAAGUCAUCUGUGAAAUCUCCGGGCUUAACUCGGAACGGUCAGAUGAUACUGCUUUGCUAGAGUGCGGAAGGGACAAUCGGAAUUCUCGGUGUAGCGGUGAAAUGCGUAGAUAUCGAGAGGAACACCAGAGGUGAAGGCGGGUUGCUGGGCCGACACUGACGCUGAAGCGCGAAAGCCAGGGGAGCAAACGGG